rnacentral:lncRNA from 1 species
UUUUUUUUUUUUUUGGAAAUUUACCCCAUAAAUCAUUUUAUAAUAAUUAGUAUUCUUGUCAAAAAUCUUACUAGAAAAAAGUAUUUUAAAAAGCAUCAUAAUAUCUUAGAAAAUAAGUACAUCUGGCAAUUCAAUCUUACAGUGAGACAUAUUCGUAUUAAAUUUGCAUAAAUAUAAAAUUUAUUUUAAUGUUACUUUAAGGGAGAAAGUUCUUGAAUAUUCCAGUAUGCUCUGCCUUAAAAUACUGUAUUCUCCCAAUUCCCUGUGUACAAAUGGCAAGGAACCUUGAAGACCAGUUGUAAGCCUUAUUCUCCUGGCUCUCUGACCCUCACGUGUCUUCAUGUAAAAGUCUCCUCGGCUCUGGUUUGGCAUGUGGAAGAAGGCUGUGAUGGCAGCAUGUCCACAGGACACGAAGAGAAGCACUCUCUUCUGAAGUCAGCGCGUUUCUCUAACAAGCAGUGCUGGCUAAUAGGAUACAUCUGUAGACUUUGAAAAUAUUUGGCCUAUACUCACUCAUUCUGAAAUGCAGGAAAUAAAGAAAUACUACAUUGCCUGUAUCUCAAAGAACAAACAGGGCUAAUUAAAUAAUUGGUAAAUAAGGAACACAUAGCCCAACACAUGUUUGAGAUUACACACAUGAUCCUGGAGAGAGAGAGAGAAAAAAAUCCCUAAGAGCACUAAUGCCAUAAGAAUGGGUUCAAGCACUAACACGAGGACAGCCCCAGUUUUCAAGUUCUUUUGGCACAAAGUUGCAAGGCGCUGCAGCUCUCUGAAACAUGGCACCCAUAGCUGCCGAAGCUUCCUGGGUUCAGAGGGCUGCCAUGAGAUAAUAGUUCAUCACGGUUGUCAGCCUUUGUCCUAAACCGACCAUGGAACCCCAUGGUGUCUACAGGGUGAGGUAUAAGCCCUGGAGCUUCGCGAGGCCUGCAUCUCCUGUCAUGUCCAUUUGCUGCAUCCCAAAGAUGGAAAGUGCUCACUCACUUAGGUUGGGGACGGCUCAUCACUUGUCUUGCUGAGACAACUGGCCACGCCUUCUUUUUGUUUGCUCAUUUGUUUCUUUUUUGCUCCUUCAUGUUCAGUGCCAGUUCUUUUGAGGAACAUUUAUGAAACUUUUAAUGGCAUAUCCAUUCACGGUAAAAUAUUUCCCUGUGGCUUAUGGCCCGUUCUUGUUCUUCCUAGCAAAUACUAGCACAUUCUGGUGAUUACGUCAGCCUUUUCUGGAUAGGAAGGGUCUCAGAAUCACCCUGGAAUAAAUGGUGUCAAUAGGGCACAGCAUAGCUCAGUGGGGUCAAUAGGGCACAUCACGGAUCUACCGCAGCUCAGCUGGCUUAGCACCUGGGUAAGGUGAGAGUUGACCAGGGACCUUUAGGCAUUAAUUCACUUGCAUCUGAGCACUUCAGUUUCAUUCCUAAAUGCCAUUUCAAUGCCACUCAGCUGGCUUGUGUCAGAAGUGGUUUAGCCCAGAUCGCCUUUAUCCAAGGAUGUACUCAGAGGAAGUUCCUAGAUGCUAGCCACAGAGAACAGAGUUGUCUGCAGGGUAGUACACUUUGCUGUCUUCCUUCUUCCUUCCUUCCUGAAUAAUCAGCUCUUGAUGAUCAGGAGGGAGAGAACCUUCUGCCAUAGGAUAGGUCAGGGAGGUUCCCAAGCCCCUGAGCCACUCAGCCGUCUGCAGAUUCCAUUCAGAGAUUUCCAUGUGUAUACAUUGACAGCAUGCUCUUGGAGAUUUGGGACCACAAACCUUCCCUAUCCCUCACAGGGAAUUGGGCAAAUAACAACAUAAUGUUUUAUAAUAGCCACAAUUGUUUUUAUUAGUCUUUAAGUGGUCUGCCUUCCGACUAUAGAAAAAGAUGCUAUUUCCCAUGUUUUUUAAACCUCAAACCAAGUAGUGUUGAAGGAACAGGCUACUAAGUUUGAUUUAAUGCACCAUAUGUUAAAGAUUACUCAGAAAUAUCUAUCUGGUUCAUGAAUUAAUCUUACAACUUUCACUCCUCCUGACAUGUUUGUAUGAAAGGAAGCAUGUUGGGAUGUGGCUUUCUAGUAGAAACAUUAUGUCCUCUUUCCCUAGAGAACUUGGUUUCAUAGUAAUUUUUUAUUAUUAUUAAGCUAGUCACAUAAUACCCAGUCUGUGUUAUGAGGGUCAUGAGCCUUCAGAUGAAUUUGGGUGAUGACCAGGCACAGACAGAAGUAAAGAUACAUUUUAUCCAGCAGCUUCAGGUCUGUAGUUAUAAAGACCACCAAUGGAGAGCAAUAAAUGAGUUUGAUUUAAGCCUCUCCGAGAUUUCCUGCACACAGUCAGGAGGCCCACCUUCCCCCAUGUAUGCCUGGAGCCCUUCCCACGUGGCAUUAGUACAUCACGCCCAUUGUUGGAGGCUCUUCUAAAGGAGUCUUGGUGGAGCGUUGGCAAUGUUCCAUUUUAUAGUCAUCCCUGUGGACAAACUCAUGGCAUUGCUAUGCUUCUUCUCCUUAGCACUUUAAUGAAAUGAGGGUCACCGACCACAGUUCAGAAGAGCGUCAUCGUAAGGCAGUGCUGGUCUGGAGAACACACCGACUUGUACUUCCCCCGCCCUUUGAUGUCCCCUCUUCCCUGCCGCAGGUUAUGGGUGUGCAAUAAAGGGGAAACAUAUUUUCCAGAUUCUGAUUCUCAGAGCUCAUCCCCAGGCACCAGUCGUCCUGGUAUUUUGUUUGGGGUGUGUUCUGAUGGGAACCACCAUUUCCCCAAAGCGGACACUCACGGAGGGUGGUCCAACACCCAGGACAGGAUGUGAAACCUUUGUGUGUGUUUCUAGCCAGCAACAGCACCUGGGUUGGAGCCUUCUCUGAACAAUACUUGAGUGGCUAACAGUAUCAAACGUUCCUACAAAAUCACAAAGCUUUUCAUAAUUGUUCAUUUUCCAUUCUUAUCUUUGCUGUACUUCUACUUAGAGGCUGCUUUUUGUGUUUUGGUUUCCUUUUGGGGUGUUUGUGGGGUUUUUUGUGCUUUGUUCUUUCAUUUUUGUUUUUCAUUUUUUGGUGUUGCUUUGGGUUUUUUGUUUAUUUGUUUGUUUGGUUGGUUGGUUGGUUUUUGGGUUUUGGCUUUGGUUUUUCUGUCUGUUAAGCAAAAGAAGUUGAUUAGAACCAAAGUAAAACUGGUACACAUCAAGACAAAUCUGUAUCUGUGACGUGAACAUUAGUGAUUCCUAAUAAUAUACCUUGACAGAACCCCAGUACUAAAAUAGCAAUGAAGUCCUAAUAUACUGAAGUCUGAAAGGUGGAUUUGAUAUAUGUUUUGCUAAGCAUGACCCACUUUCCAGUACCAAAGCCAAAUAUUAAUCCAUUUGAGAAUUAAAAACAUAUCUCCUUUCUAAUGCUGUGUGGCCUUCUGUAUAUUGGUCACACAAACAAAAAGAGACAUCUUUAAGAGCGGACCCAUCUCAUGUUGAAAAUGUGUCCCCUCCGUGUUUCCUGGAACAGAACAAAAGGCAUGCCCAGUGAAAGAGUAGACUGGCCCCAGCCAACUGCUUUGAAAUAUAAGCCUUUUGGUUGGGCUGUCCAGCUCUUGCAAGGUAAAAUGGCUUCAUGUUAAAAAAUAGUCUGUCUUUAUCAGUGGCUUGCAUGAAUAGCCUUUGUAGUUUUCUAAAACAUUCUUAUGACCAGAUGAGGUAAGGACUUGAUUCUAUUUUUGAUUCAGCUUCCUGAGUCUUAAUAUCUCUUUGUAUAAAGAAGACACUAAUAGCUUAGUUUAAAAGGUUCGGUGUUUUAG